UGGCCUCCCAUUUUCUCUCUCCUCUGUUCCACUUCUGCUUCUGAAUCUGCUUCUUCUUCAACUACAAGGGAAUGAUGAUAUGGUUAAUCCUGCUGGGCUGUACUGGGCUUGUCCUCCUCCUUCACGGAGCUAGUUUUUUAUUCCACCUUCUCUCCCCACACCUCACCCUUCGUUCUCUCAGUUUCCUAGGAUUUGCUGGGUGGUAAAGUGAAGACGACAAGAUGAAUAAUUCGCAGAGACAUGCUCGAAUGUUCUCACCAGAUUCUUUAAAUUACUCAGAUUCUGAUGCAGCUAGCUUGUAGUUGCUGCCGCUGAUGAUUUGUAAGGAUUUAAGAUUUAAUUGUACGUAGCAUUUAUAAUAAAGUUGAGAAAGAGCUUUCUCCUUCUUAUUUAGUUAUAUUGUCACGCGAGCUUCAAUAUAUGUAUAUAGAUAUAGAUAUAGACAUAGAUGCUUUUAGCAUUGGCUGUUCUAGGAAGUACGAAGCAUAGAUCACGAUACAGGUGAUAUGAUCUACUCUGCUAAAUUUCGUAAUUAGAAGCUUUCUAUGAUCUGCCCUGCUAAAUUUCGUAGCUACAAUCUUUCUGCUACGGCACAAUUUUCCAGAUCAAGAAUGUGACGAAGAAUGAUUGGAGGACGACGAAAAUGUUGAAUCUGCAGGAUAAUGGUUGCGCCAAUCGUGGGAGAGAUAAGAACAAAUGUAUUGCCUCACAUGAACAUGUAGGGAUGAUAAUUAAUAUGACGAAAGUCACGUGGUUGAAGAAAGUUAAUUAAUUACAUAAGCAGAUAUCCACUUUUCACAUGUAUUUUUUAGUUA